rnacentral:tRNA from 1 species
UCCCUGGUGGUUCAGUGAUUAGUACUCCACACUUUCACUGCUGUGGGUCCAGGUUCAAUCCCUGGUCUGGGAA